UACGUAGGGUGCGAGCGUUGUCCGGAAUUAUUGGGCGUAAAGAGCUCGUAGGCGGUCUGUCGCGUCUGCUGUGAAAACUCGGGGCUUAACCCCGGGCCUGCAGUGGGUACGGGCAGACUAGAGUGCGGUAGGGGAGACUGGAAUUCCUGGUGUAGCGGUGAAAUGCGCAGAUAUCAGGAGGAACACCGGUGGCGAAGGCGGGUCUCUGGGACGUGACUGACGCUGAGACGCGAAAGCGUGGGGAGCAAACAGG
rnacentral:rRNA from 1 species